UACGUAGGGGGCAAGCGUUGUCCGGAUUUAUUGGGCGUAAAGAGCGUGUAGGCGGCCAAGCAGGUCAGCUGUGAAAACUCGAGGCUCAACCUCGAGACGUCGGUUGAAACCGCUUGGCUAGAGUCCGGAAGAGGAGAGUGGAAUUCCUGGUGUAGCGGUGAAAUGCGCAGAUAUCAGGAGGAACACCGGUGGCGAAGGCGGGUCUCUGGGCAACAACUGACGCUGAGGAGCGAAAGCGUGGGGAGCGAACAGG
rnacentral:rRNA from 1 species